AUAUACUUACCUGUAUCUAACAAAUUAUUUUUAAUUUUCAGGGAAAUCGGAGGUUCCUGUCGAUGGUGCGAUGGAGCCCCACCCCCCUGAGGGGUAAGAAACGAAAGCUUUCGUUUGACAGUACUCCAAUCAAUUACGCCAUGGUGGAAAAGCCUAUGGAGUUCGUAUUCAGAUUUUCUCUGCGGAGACCAAAAAGUUGCAAGGAUUGUCCCCAAGAUAAACUAGCGCCCAUCCCGAUCACAUGCGGCUAUGUGUUGUCAGUGGUGGUUGAAAUUUGGUACGUGGAGUACCAGCCACGGGUACUGAGUUAUGAUCAGUGGGGAUGUGAAAUAAUUUUCAGUAGUAUGCCCGAUUUUGGGGACAUAAACGAACUCGGAAAUAUCCGAAAAACCUUCAUUGAAAGGAUGCAAAUUAAAUGUCGCCGGAAGUUAGUUUUUUAGUUUUUUUUUGGUUAAAGAAUUAUUUUUAAAGUUGUAAAAACUUCUUAUUUUUAAAUUUUAAAAUUAAGCUAUUUAUAUAUUGAAUUUUAUAUGUGAAAAUGUUUCAAAUCUAUCAAUAA